rnacentral:lncRNA from 1 species
CCUAACCAGCAGGCUUCCAGGAGCGCCCAAGUCUCUUUCUAGCAAGCCUCUAGGGGCAGAGGUGGGUGGGACAGCAGCCUCUAACUGGUAAGACACAACUCCUGCUAACUCCUGGGCCUACUCUGGGCCUCAGCUUCUCUAACUGGGCUCUCCUGUAAUAAGUGUAGUGAGGUUCCAUGGCUGCAAGUGAGUGCAUAGCCCUGGCAUACUCAACAAGCUCCUGAAGCCACGCAGGAGACGGGCUUCAAAAGGAGACACUCCCUGUUUGGAAUGAGUGCGUUCUUCUACACAUGAAGUUCCCUGUGACCUAAGCAGCGUUUCAGACGCGUCUAGACACUUCAAGAACCCCUGGGAGCCUAGCGCCAGAUCCAGCACACACACGGGCUUAGGCAGACGUGGCUCCACGGGCACUUUUCUCUGAGAGGCAGGGGAAGUGCACUCCCCGUCUUCUCUGGGUGAUGAAGACAAAGAAACUCUGGACCACCCGCUGCCUCAACAACCUCAGAGAUUCUGACUCUAAAGAGCCCCCCUCCUGUAAGUCCUCCAGCGGCCACAGCCGGUUACGAGCACCCACAGGCGGCUGUCACCAAAAGGUCUGAACAGCCCACCUGCCUGGUAAUCACCAGGCUUUAGACCAGCGAGCCCAAGGAUUUGGAGGAAUGAGCUGGGGCUUCUGGGAAACCCUGGGCCACUUGGACUGCCUGCCUCAGUUUCUUCAUUUGCCUGUCCAUCUCACUGGUGUGCUUGAGGACCCCGGAAGAUCAUGCCUGUGAAGGGCUUUGAGAGUAACCAGGGGCUAUUCUGGAGGAACGUGUAGGAACUGGGUGUGCUGAGGGCACUGGGAGGGCCAUAGGGACAGCUGGAGAGGUUUCUGCUGCAGCCACAAGCCACUCAUUACGUGCUUGCUCUGUGUAUGUAGGAGCAUGCCGUGGUCCCCAGUGACAGGUGGGGAGACAUGGAGUAAGGACCCUGCUCCACGUUGCAUCACCAGUCUAGCUGGGGUGGCACAGGCCAGCAUCCUGCAGCAGAUCUCAUCAGAUGGCAAAACCAGAUGCUUCCCCAGAUGCCGUUCCGCAAGAUGGAGCUCUCUGGAGUGCUGGUUACUUCUGCGCCCAAGCCAGUGGGCUGUCUCUCCUGGAUGCCAAAUUAGGGAAGCACUCCCUGAUUAGUAUCCACGUGACCUGUGUUUCUCAGAAAUGCUAAGAACAUUCACUGUUUGGAUGAAGAACACAAUAUUUUUUUUUCUUUCACAUGCACUGGAUGACUUCACCGUGUUUACUGUCUUUGGUUUUGUUCCAAAGUGGUUG